GCCGGGGUAGCUCAGCUGGUAGAGCGUCGGGCUGUUAACCCGAUGGUCGGGGGUUCAAGUCCCCUCCCCGGCGCCA
rnacentral:tRNA from 1 species